GACGAACGCUGGCGGCGUGCUUAACACAUGCAAGUCGAACGGAAAGGCCCUGCUUUUGUGGGGUGCUCGAGUGGCGAACGGGUGAGUAACACGUGAGUAACCUGCCCUUGACUUUGGGAUAACUUCAGGAAACUGGGGCUAAUACCGGAUAGGAGCUCCUGCUGCAUGGUGGGGGUUGGAAAGUUUCGGCGGUUGGGGAUGGACUCGCGGCUUAUCAGCUUGUUGGUGGGGUAGUGGCUUACCAAGGCUUUGACGGGUAGCCGGCCUGAGAGGGUGACCGGGCACCUGGGGCCUGCGAUACGGAGCAGAAUGCUACGGGCCGCAGCAGUCGAGAAUCUUGCACAACGGGGGCACGCGUGAUGCAGCAGCGCCCCGUGCGGGAUGACGGGUUUUGGGUUGUAAACCAAUUUCGAAUGUGCCGAAGCGUGAGUGACGGUAACGGGUAAAGAAGCACCGGCUAACUACGUG
rnacentral:rRNA from 1 species